ensembl:lncRNA
AUUAAAGUUUAUGACUCUGCACUAAAAUAUUAUGUAUUUAAAUUGACAUCAUUAUUAUAAUAUUUAGGGUCAGACCCUACAGUAUUGAGAUUAAGAAAUCAAAUAUUCUAUAAAAUAUAAAUACACUGAACUCAUUUGGAUAUAUUUAAGUGAGACUCUACAAUAUUAUUUGACACAAAUCUAUCUAAAUCAAAACUUUAAUCAUUUUUACUCCAAACAUUUACUGGACUGAUUUAAACAUUAAAAUCACUCCUUUCUAAUCCUCUGCUGUACGUUCAAACCUGAGGCCUUAAAUAGAAACACACAAGUAUCUGAUUGAAGGAACUUCUGCAGAGUCCUGGUUCCAGAACAUGAUGAUAGAAUUAUAGACAAACUUUAACAAAAGCUGCCUGAGAGUUUACAGGUUUUUAUGUUAGAUUUCUUCAAUAAUUUAAUGAGAGUUAUCAGCAAAAAUCAAGUGUUCAUUUGAUGAACUUCAUUUCCUAAAACAUCCAGAAUUGGAGCUCAUAUCUUUGGCAGCUGUAAAGUUUCUGCUCCUUCAAAGUUCACAACACAAUGAAUGAAUUCCUAAAACACUCUCAAUGCUGGAGAGCGUUUGUGAUGCUGAAGCAGUGACCAGUUUUUCAGUUUCUUCUCUGGAGAUGCACAAUGAGGGACGUCUGCAGAGACUGAGAAAGAGUCUCACCACAUCCUGACAUGAGGAAAAAGACUUUAUUGAAGACUACAAUGAGAAAAACUAUCAGACAGCAGACGGCUGCAUUCAAGUCUGUAGCUGCUGAAUUCAUGGAUGAAUCAUCUGGCACUAGAGAGGAAGACCAUCAAACAUCCAUGUCAGCUGAUGGAGGUCCAAGAGUCUCACCAAACAAACAACCUACAGAGUGAAGACCUCGAACCUGAUUGGACGGCCUCCUAUUCAGCCACAUUUUAGGCUGUUAGAUUGUUCCAGAUAAGACAAGUACAAGAUUCUUCAGAGCCGUUCUACCACGAGCCUGACAGGAAGAACUCCAACAGCUACUGAAUGUUCCUGUGGUUCCCUCAAGGCUACAGGAGGAGUCCUACGAGGACGAGCCGGUCCACCUGAUGGAGGCCAGUCGCUGCGGUUCAAAGGCAACACCGACUACGUGGACUUCUACUGGACCACACGGAGGCCUUCAAACCGGACCAACAAGUUCAGCGACUCCCCGACUCGUGGGUCUGAGGACGCCGCCGAGCCUCGGUCCAGCCGGCCUCCUGUCUGUGGGUGUUUGAGUGCUGAGAGGUUUGUGGAUGCAUGUGAACGUGUCUGUGUUGAAACAGCAGCUUUGGACUCAGUAACGCCGGGAAAAACCAAGAGCUCCUUUAUUUGUGACUUCCACUAAAAAAAACUGAUGAAAAUAAGUUUGCCGGGG